GAGUUUGAUCCUGGCUCAGGAUGAACGCUGGCGGCGUGCCUAAUACAUGCAAGUCGAGCGAACAGACGAGGAGCUUGCUCCUCUGACGUUAGCGGCGGACGGGUGAGUAACACGUGGAUAACCUACCUAUAAGACUGGGAUAACUUCGGGAAACCGGAGCUAAUACCGAAUAAUAUAUUGAACCGCAUGGUUCAAUAGUGAAAAACGGUUUUGCUGUCACUUAUAGAUGGAUCCGCGCCGCAUUAGCUAGUUGGUAGGGUAACGGCUUACCAAGGCGACGAUGCGUAGCCGACCUGAGAGGGUGAUCGGCCACACUGGAACUGAGACACGGUCCAGACUCCUACGGGAGGCAGCAGUAGGGAAUCUUCCGCAAUGGGCGAAAGCCUGACGGAGCAACGCCGCGUGAGUGAUGAAGGUCUUCGGAUCGUAAAACUCUGUUAUUAGGGAAGAACAAAUGUGUAAGUAACUAUGCACGUCUUGACGGUACCUAAUCAGAAAGCCACGGCUAA
rnacentral:rRNA from 1 species